AUCAUCACUCCCAUCUCCAUAUCAUUUAAAGGCAUACAGAAGGUUUUUCUCACAAUGAACUUCUAGGGAUGUUUGCGAGUUACGAGAAUCCUCCUUGAGUCCACAGAGUGAUGCAGGAACCAAAAGACCUCACAAGAUCUCAGGGUUUAUGGAGAAAGAAAGGCAGCUCCAAAAGACUCCAAGCAAUGAUUCUGAAAUCUUCUUCAGUUAGCCAGGGAUCCACAAACCUACUGGAAGACAUCUUCCUGUGUUCAAAUCUGGCUUCAGACAUCCAUUUGCUAUGUGACUCUGAGCAAGUCAUUUAAUCCCAUUGGCCUAAGUUUCCUCACCUGAAAAAUGAGCUGGAGAAGGAAAUUGCAAACUCCUCCAGUAUCUUUGCCAGGAAAACCCCAAAUGGGAUCACAAAGAGUCAGGCAUGACUGAAAUGAAUGAACAACAAAGCGACCAGGAGGGGUAACAAAAUGGUGACAGUAAUCUUUCGUACUUGUACUAAAAAUGUUCUCAAUUUAUAGCAUAUUAAAGCUUUGCAAAAUGUUCACCUUGAAAUAGUUCUAUGAUGUAGUGCAAGAAACCACACCUAUUUCACAAAUGAAUAA
rnacentral:lncRNA from 1 species